GUCCACGCCCUAAACGAUGUCAACUAGGUGUCGGGAGCGCAAGUUCUUGGUACCGCAGCUAACGCGUGAAGUUGACCGCCUGGGGAGUACGGUCGCAAGAUUAAAACUCAAAGGAAUUGACGGGGACCCGCACAAGCGGUGGAUGAUGUGGAUUAAUUCGAUGCAACGCGAACAACCUUACCUACCCUUGACAUGUCCGGAACCCUGCUGAAAGGUGGGGUGCCCGAAAGGGAAUCGGAACACAGGUGCUGCAUGGCUGUCGU
rnacentral:rRNA from 1 species